UAAUUUGUUAUUUUAGAUUACUGUAUCUAUACAUCUAAUCAGCUAUGUUCUUACAGCAGUUUUAUCUCAGCUUUAUGCUGUCUGUUUGGCAUUUCUGUUGCUGGGGUAUGGAAUGACAAUAAUAAUGUCAAAUAAAUUGAGUAAAUAGAAAAUAACAUUAUAAUCAAUGUAUCAACUGGGGCAUGAAAUAAAAUGCAUUUUUUCAUAUAACUAAAAAGCUUAUUGAAUCAUGUGACAUAUCAACCAUGUGCCAUUGUCUGACACAAUCCUCCCCUUUUCUUUAUUCUUUGUUUUUCCUUUUGUAUUGUGUAAUUAUUAUGGUAGAGUUGAGUCCUUGCAGCAAGCAACAAUGCCACUUACCUCACGUGUAACUGUCAUUUAUAGUCUCAUUAUGCAACUCAAUGAAAGUAUGUCUCCACCAAGCAUGACUUUCAUAUUAUGUGUUGAAACCUUCAGCCUUAGGCCCUUGGCACAAAGCCUUAAUUUGAACAUAUAGUAACAUUUUAAAGUAAUAAAUCUUUAACAGUAAACUCAUGGUCUUGGAUAAAAGUAUGGUCUUGGAUAAAAGCAUACACAAUAAUAUGCUCAUGACUUGUUUGUAAUUUGAACCAGUGUUAGAAACAUUGUCUUUCUUUGAUAGAAACAUUGUCUUUCUUUGAUAGAACAUUGUCUUUCUUUGAUAGAAACGACCAAUGUAAACUUUAUCAGCCUUAACCUCUUAGAUAGCUUUCUUGCAAUUUUCAUCAUCUGUAUUCUUGGAAGUUGACAUGGCAUGUGGGGUGUGCAUGCUCAUUAACUCCUAUUUCAUUCAUUGAUCAACUGAUUCAGAUCCUUCCAAAGCCAACCAUUUUAUAGUUUUCAAUUCUAAUUGGUUAAAAUAUAUACUUAAUUCAAAUUUCAUCUCUAAUAUUCAUCAAGAAAGGCAAAACUAGAAAUAGAUGGGAGCUUGUUAUGAGUGAUCUGAUCAUUUCAUGAGUUGGAUUUCAAUCUUCCUCAUUGUCGUUGCCUCACUAUUCUUACUCGCAGUCGCUAGUCCCCUGAUUGCCACAACAGGCUCUGCUAAUCUGUCAUCAUCAUGUAGAUUACACAUCAACCAUUGCAAAGAAAAAGAAGCCACAGUUUGUAGAUGUCACAUAAAUAAAUUGGUGGAAGGUUGAGUACCGAGUAUAUCGAUGGUAGUAUGUUAGUGUGUUGGCUUUGCUUCAAGUAAUCGCUGAUUUUUGGAUCUUCAUCAACUGUUUAGGCUUGUUUGAUGCUGUCUCCGGAUAGUGUUUUGUUGUGGAUGUUCUUAAAGUUAGAUGUCUUUUUUUUUUUUCCAAGAUUUUUUUGCCUCUAUUGAGAGUGGUACCUAAACGUGUCUUGGAAAGAAAAUGACAAUAAAUGCUAAAAGAUCUGUUAAGGCUGUACCAAUUUGAUUAGCUAGUUUCUUCCUUUUUUGAACAUUUUUUGUUUCAGAUUUGAAGAUAGAUGCACGUUUCCAAAAUAUGUUGAUUGAUAAUUGCUUGUGCGUGGAAUUCAAAUUUACUUCUAAAGAUUAUUUUAGCAGUAAUUAAUGGUUUUAUUGCGUGUGUAUUAGUAUACUUAUUUGCUAAUUAAUAUAUUUGAUAAAUAUUAAUGUUUUGCCCAUCUCUUGUUAGUCAUAAGAGCCGAAGGAAUUAGUUAACAAGCUUGGGAGGAGUUUUGUUUCUUCGUUCUGUAAGCAUGCUUCGAAAAGAACUCAGGAGAAGGUUUGACUUUUGUAGUUAGCUUGACUUUCGUAUGUGGUUUCUCCUAGUUUUUCUCUACUAUGGUAUGGUAUGGAUAAUCGGAGAUGGCAUAUCAACUAAAGUUUAUUCUCUACUACGAUAAACUCGUAAGACGUGUUCUUGUUAUUGUAAUGCAAAAUCUUUGAAAGUUUGAUAAAAAGACAUUAGACAUGACUUGCUUCUAAUUAAAGUUCAGUUAUAGCUGCGGGCAAAAAUUAUCUAGUGCAUAAGGUUUACAUACGAUAUGCGAUGACAAAAACACAUGAGAUUGGAAGUAAUUGUUUAUUUGAUGUAUUUUAAAAUUUGGAAGUUUUUAUUUAGUGUUUUUUAAAUGGAGGGUUUGUAUUUUGUGUAUAUUUGAUAAGUUCGUUUGCAGAACUUGGAAAAGAAUCAAGAGCAAUAUGAUUGUUAAACUAUAUUUUAAGGCUUAAUAUAAGUCCUCUGGAAUUUAUGAUGCAUGGAAAUUCCAUUGAUAAUAUAGCAUUAAAUCGUUUGGAGUUUACUCGUAAAUACUAUUUGUAUUGCGUCUCCAAAAUAUUUUUUGUAUUCACAAGCAAGUGUAUUUGACAAAUUGGUGUUGAAUAUUUUAAUUAUUUUUGAAUAAAUUUUAUGAUUGAUUUAUAAAAUUUGGGUGGUCAUUUGAAGUAAUUAUGAUGUAGUUGUUUUUGUUUUUGCAUUAACUAUAAAAUAUUGUAAUAUGUGCGUAUUGUAUAAAAAAAACAUAUAUCAUAAUCCUUUGCAUUUUCCAAUGAUAAGUUAUAAUAUGGUCAUUGGAAUUUUAUAUUCAAUCAUUAAAUAGUUCUUUAUUAUAGAUAUUUAUAUCGUAAGAGCUAAAGUAACUUUUAAAUAUUGUUGAAAUUAAUUUUAGUAAAACAUUUUUAUUAUUUUAAUGUGUUAGAAUAUGUUGAGUUUAAUUCAAAAUUAUUUUUCACAAUUCAAGAUUAUAGAAAAUACAUAAUCUGUUUUGUAAAUAUUUCACUUGUCUUAUCAAAUAUGUUAUUUUAGAAAUAUAAACAUUGGGCUUAUUCAUAAAUACAUUUGUAAAAUAUAAAAACUUAUAAGUAUUUCUAAUAUNNNNNNNNNNNNNNNNNNNNNNNNNNNNNNNNNNNNNNNNNNNNNNNNNNNNNNNNNNNNNNNNNNNNNNNNNNNNNNNNNNNNNNNNNNNNNNNNNNNNNNNNNNNNNNNNNNNNNNNNNNNNNNNNNNNNNAAUUGAUUAACAAAUUUAUUAUGCAUUAUAGUCGUUAUAAAAAUUUAAAAUUUAUUGAAAUAUGUGAAAAAAUUUUUUAAUUAUUUUUAAAUAGUUUCAAUGUUUAUUUACACUUACUUUUUAUUAAUUACAUAAUUAAAUUAUUUUAAGAUGAGAAUUCAAUCUUAGUAUUUAAAUAUUUCUAGAGAUGAGUCAAUCUCUCAUCUAUAUACAAUAAAAGAAUUCUUGCAAAUGUUCCCAAAAAUAACUGUAACACAUCUAACAUUCAUAAAAUACAUUACAAUCAUGUUAACUGGCAUAAUUUUUCUGAUUAUUUUUUCACAUAUCUCUAGUGAAAAAUAUAUCAAUUUUACAUGUGUUUAUUCCCGUGAAGUAUUAUAAGAUUUAUAAAAUAAAUACUCUAUUAAAAUUUAGGUUGAAUUUGUUUAAAGUUAUUUAUAUAUCUGUAUAAUUAAUGGAAAAGAUAGAUUAUUUAAUAUUUAAUUUUUUUUUUAAUGACAAGAUCAUUUGUAAUUAAAUUUUUUUUUUUGAAUUGAGAAUUAGAGGAGUAGGUAUGUAAUUAAAAUUAUUUUUAAUUGUUACAAACUCUCAAUUUAAUGCGAAUGCAUUGAGGGUUGUAUUAUGAAAUUCAUUAAAAAUUUAACACUAUUCUGAAUGAAUUUACAGUUGUUUUAUCAAAUUGAAAUGCGAUUGUGAAUUUUAUUGAAAUGUUAAUGUUUGUGUUCGGGUUCAGGUACCCUACCGGAUACUGUUUCUCAUUCUUUUUCUGUUCUAUAAAUGAUGACACUCUGACUUAUUUUUUCUAUUGUUUUCUUAGGGUUUCUAAUUUGUGAGUAUUGCCAUCUCUCUUUUGUACCAUUUUUGUGCAUCAUGGCUUCCAAUAUCCAUCAUCCAAAGAAGGAAGACGGUGACGAAUCACCAUAGAAGAAAUCAAAGAUUGAAGAUGGCUUUCUCGACGAAAGGUCUGCUAAGGAACCAAAGGCUGAAGAUAAAGACAACAAAGAAUGGAUUGAUUAUUCAGAUGAAUGCGAAGACGAAUUGCUAAAAAAACACAGAGAGAAUUUUGUAGCAUACAGGAGGCAAAUCUCGAAGUCGUUAAAGUUAUUAUAGCAACCACUUUUCAACCUUUUCUAUAUUACAUAACUUUUGAAACUAAAGACUUGACUAUGAAGGAAACUAAAAAGUAUCAAACUAGGGUCAUUUGGGAUCCAUUUACCGGUUCUGACGCCAAUGCUGAUAUUGAGAUUUUCAGGCUCAGAAAAGAUAAAAAAGAGGAGGUAAUUUGUUAUUUUAGAUUACUGUAUCUAUUCAUCUAAUCAACUAUGUUCUUACAGUAGUUUUAUCUCAGCUAUAUGUUGUCUAUUUGGCAUUUCUGUUGCUGGGGUAUGGAAUAACAAUAAUAAUGUCAAAUAAAUUGAGCAAAUAGAAAAUAACAUUGUAAUCAAUGUAUCAACUAGGGCAUGAAAUAAAAUGCGUUUUGUCAUAUAACUAAAAAGCUUAUUGAAUCAUGUGACAUAUCAACCAUAUGCCAUUGUCUGACAAUCCUCCCCUUUUCUUUAUUCUUUGGUUUUCCUUUUGUAUUGAAUAAUUAUUAUGGCAGAGUUGAGUCCUUGCAGCAAGCAACAAUGCCACUUACUUCACGUGUAACUCUCAUUUAUAGUCUCAUUAUGUAACUCAAUGAAAGUAUGUCUCCACCAAGCAUAACUUUCAUAUUAUAUAUUGAAACCUUCAGCCUUAGGCCCUUGGCACAAAGC
rnacentral:lncRNA from 1 species